rnacentral:hammerhead_ribozyme from 1 species
AUCCGGCUGACAAGUCCCAAAUAGGGCGAAACACGCAUCCUGGAU